GAUAAAUAUAAGCAAAUGUUAUAUAUCCACCAAUCAAAAUUUUUUUCACAAAAAAUACUUAAUGAGUACUUUCCUAAAGAAUUUUACAACCAGCUGUUCCAAAAUACUUUUUAAUAUGGACAUCAAUCUUUUAUACCAACACAAUCCAUGGUGAGUAAAGAAUCCACACAAAGUGGAGAAAAAACGACAAGAAAUUUAAAAAAAAAAAAAAUUUGUUUCUUUCAUAUAUCCAUGUUUGAUCAACUUCUAUAAUAUACAUAUAAUCUUAGUAUUUAUAUAUGUGUAAGUUCUUUUAAAUAUUCUUUUAAAUAUUUCUUUCAUAUAUCCAUGUUUGAUCAACUUCUAUGAGAUCAAGUUGUUUGUUACUUCUAUGAAACUCACAGUUUCUUUUUCAUACGUUGAGAUUGGUUUGAUAUGUUCAUAGAUAGACGAAAGAUAUCAGAUGAGCCAGAGUACCUUAUCCUCAUCAUCAAUAUUCACUCCAAUAGCCUCCAGUUCUAAAACAAUGACGUUGAGAACACUCAAAUGGUCUGAGAUUUUCGUACCUACCUCCAUGCGUAAUAAAUGAAAUUGCCUCUUUAGGUGCAACCGAUUUGAGAAGCUCUUCUUUUGAUAUAGUUCUUCUAACUUCUCCUAUAGUUCCUUUGCAGCAGAUAAGCAUUGACACAAAUAGAUAGAAAAGAAGGGAUCAAUUGGACAGAAAUCGUAAUGACAUCACGGUAGUAGGAAAUGUCGCCUUAUGAACAGUGUCAAAACUCUUCUCUUUUAUACCUGAAUUGACCAAAUUUUAUGCAAACAGAUGUAUAUAGAAUGUGUACUAACAUACGUACAAACAUGCAUCAUCAUAGAAUGAAUUGAAAAGUAGAUAUUACGAUAUGUAGACAGGAUGUUUAUAGCUACGUGUACAGACCUGCCUUUUCCCAUCUAUUUCGAAAACAAUAAUGCUUAUUGUACAACACUAGGUUACAACAUAGGAUGACAACAUUUCCUGGACGGUUGUGAUUCAAUGACUGUGGACUGUUGAGAUGUAAAAUAAAAAAGAAAUAAGUCUUUCACCAACUACACUUCAGUGAGGCGGGAAACCAUGACCACAACAUUGUAAGAGAGGCUGGAGACGAUUCUCAGGGCUGAGGUGACGAGGCUAUUGGAAAGGAAAAAACCAAAACGAGUCACCCCUAAUUUGUCCCCACCCAUUUAUGUGACAACAAAUGUGAUGCUGUGAAAUGACCCAUUGAAGAAUCUGGGAAGAGAAAAACUCUUCUUGUGGUAGUCUGAGCAGCAUACCGAGUGGAAACUCGACUAUUAUACUUCUCUAUAUCUUCUAUAUGUGGUUGAUUGCAAGAACCUCACUUUGCUUCCUAAAUUCAGUGGGAUUGUACCUCUGCAACAUGUACAUGUGUUUGAAAGCAAUAGUUUCUAUCCAGUACUUACUAAAUUGAGUGGGAAGGGAACUCUACUAACAUCUAAAUGUGUCCGGAUUCAAUGAUCUCACUUUGCUUCUUUAAAUUGAGUGGGAUGGGAUCAUCUAAAUGUAACUAAAUACAAUAAU
rnacentral:lncRNA from 1 species